AAGUAUGCCUUUUCUCAUCCAUAGAUUUUUUCAGGUGUCAAAAAUGCCUCAUUUUGGCUUUCCCCACCCAAAAAACCCACAUUCCCACCAGGCUCCUAUUCUUGUUGGCUAUAGUGAAAUAGAUAAAUAGGAUGGGAGUAUUGGUUGAAACUGCAAAUUUACCCACGUCCUUAAAACUGAAUGACUCUCCCUUGCUUAUGUGCUCUAUGAUAUUACAUGAUCCUGAGUUUGUAGUCUGUCUGGCAUUCAGUCAUUGUUCCCUUUGUUAAUGAAUUCUCCUUAAACUACGAAUAACUGUUGUAAUUCCUCGUUAUGCAAAUUUCCAGCUAUUUUGACAGUCGGCACUGACAACAAAAGGAAGAGUUUAAACAUUUCAGUGCCUUGAGCUUUAUUUAUGGCUCAAUUGAUCAAAGUAGCGUCAUACUGACAUUAGCCAUCAAUGCAGCACCCACAUUGCCAUCAAGGCCCCAAGUGUGGACAAAACCCUCUACUUUAACCAGAAAAGAUCUCACUCCCUCUGAACAUCCAAGUUAUUUGUGAUGCGAAUGGAGUGAUCCUCAGCUAGUGCUCCAGAUUCCCAGGUGCUACACAUGAUGCUUUUGUGUGGAGCAACUGUAAUCUGAAGCAUCAGUUUGAGAGAGGGGAAUUUGGUGAUUUCCUGCUCAUUGGUGAUAGUUUGUAUCCCCUCGAGCCCCAUCUCAUGGUGCCCUUGAGCAACCCCCACCACUGAUGCAGAGCACAGAUACAACAGGGGCCAUGCACAAACUAAGGUCAUUGUUGAGCAGACCAUCGGGAUGGUGAAGAGUCACUUCAGAGUAUGGCAGUCCUGCAAAUGCUAUGGGAGACAACAUCCACAGCAUGACCAACUCCACAGCAGUGUAUGUUGUCUCAUUUGGAGGUCCCUCACUUGCAUGGAUAUGAAUGUUGCAAUUAUCAGCCACUUAGAAGUUCACUUGUAAAGCCAAAUCAACUUGGUGUAAAACAUGAAUGUAUUAGAGCAUAUUGAUGUUAUUAAACACUGCAGUGGUCAGUCUCAGACCUGACUGGCAGAGGUACUGUACAUACUCCUAAUUACAGUCCAUUGCUUAGUUGGUUCUUGGUUAUGUUUAUUGAGUAUAUGGGUAAAUUUUGUAACAGCACCAACAAUGAAAUACAAAUACACAAGAGCAAA